UACGUAGGGUGCAAGCGUUGUCCGGAAUUAUUGGGCGUAAAGAGCUCGUAGGCGGCUCGUUGCGUCGGCUGUGAAAACCCGCAGCUCAACUGUGGGCUUGCAGCCGAUACGGGCGGGCUGGGAUUCGGUAGGGGAGACUGGAAUUCCGGGUGUAGUGGUGAAAUGCGUAGAGAUCCGGAGGAACCCCAGAGGCGAAGGCGGCAGCCUGGUUCGUACCUGACGCUCGGACACGAC
rnacentral:rRNA from 1 species